ACGAGAACGUCCAAAACCUCCUCCUUCUGCUCCUGUUUCAGCAGCACGAACCAUCACAACAUCCAGCCAGUGAGUGAGUGGGCGAGUGUCAUUCGUGCGGUCAUUGUGGAAAGGUGAAAAUAUGGCGAUAUUCGUGCACGGACAGUGAAAAUUUUCCAAACCCCGUCGCGUGAAGAAAAAAAAAGAGAAAGGUUCCGCCACCAUGAGCUAUCUGAUAACGCUGCAGGACUGCAUCAACGACAGUACGACGACGUUCGACAUCGAUGCGUUCGACGUGAUCCAGCAACAGGUCCCGCAGUACCUGGACGGUGAUGGGGAGGAGGGGGACGAGGAGGAAAAACCUUCCCAUUUUGGUUGCGCCCAGCUGCUGGACCAAAGUGGAGGAGCGCCUGGUGCUUCAGCUGGUGAGACCAAACUGAAGGUGGUCCAAGUCGACGAAAGUGGUUCCGGCAAAAAGUCCAGCAGCAAAAACAGUGAAAAUAGUAUUCUGGUUAAAUUUGAGAGUGUUGAAGAACAGGAUGACGGAGGUAAUUAUGAAAACAAUACUCUAAACGAAGAAGGAGAGCCAUCGCAUGCUACUAUCACAAUCGAGGGAUCUGACGGGCAAGUGUUGGGCCGAUAUCGGUGCAACUACGAGAGAUGCGACCGGAGUUACAGCACAGUUGGCAACCUGCGAACCCACAUGAAGACUCACCGGGGUGAGUACAAGUUCAAGUGUACGGAGGAUGGCUGCAGCAAGGCCUUUCUCACCUCGUACAGCCAGAAGAUCCACGUCCGUGUUCACACCAAAAUCAAGCCAUUCGUCUGUGCGGACAGUUCGUGCCGGAAGGCGUUCAACACGCGCUACCGGCUGCGGGCCCACGAGCGGCUGCACAACGGGGAAACGUUUAAUUGUGAGGUUUGUUCCAAGUUUUUCACCACGUUGAGCGAUCUCAAGAAGCACUCGCGAGUUCACACGCAGGAGAGGCCGUACAAAUGCAAGGAGGACAAGUGCGGCAAGGCGUUCACCGCGUCGCACCACCUGAAAACUCACAUUCGGACACACUCGGGCGAGCGUCCAUUUUCCUGCGCCAUCGACGAUUGCCACAAGGCGUUCAGCACGCCACACAGCCUCAAAUCGCACACCAAAACCCACGAGCGGAAGAAAUCGUCCAAAUCAACGAACAAACAGCGCAAGGCCAAGGUGGUGGAUGAGCUCUCGGAACCGACCGUCAAGGAGGAGUACAAACUCAGCUGUAGCGAUGGCCAGUCCGACGGGGAUGAGUUGGUGGAUGAAUCGCCGCAGGUCAGCCAACCGGAAGCGGCGUUCAACCUGGUGGACUUUCACGAGUCUAAAGCUCUGGAGAUGGCGUUGGCUUCCGAGGAAGAGUUUAACGCUCCGUGGGUGGACAUUUCGGUGCUGGGGACGAAACCGUUGGCUUUGGAUCCGGUGACGUCUUCUUGUGUGGCGUUGCCGACCAGCGUUCCGUCGUAUGUGGAUUUGCCGUUUAAUGUGAACGUGGCGGACUUUGUCGAGGAGGUUGACCCUGUGGCCAGUGCCGGUGAGGAGCUUUUCCUCGAUAGCUACGACUACGACGAGAAUCUGAUGGAGGAAAAUGCCCGCAAGGAGAUCGACGAGGCGAUUCAGAUCAGCGAGCAGAACGUGGCCAAGCAGGAACAGCAGGACACGGACAACAUCCUGAACGAGUUGUUCAUGGAGGGACUGCUGCCGGCGGCGACGACGAUCACCACGGAAGUCCAGCAGCAGGACGGCAACAACAACAACGUCAGCGUAUUCACGGAACCCCCUAUCAAGACCACCCUCAAGGACAUUACGGCAGACGCGGACAUUUGCCGCUGCGUCAACUGCCAGUGCGAUCCAAACCACGGUUGCGUCGGCGGCUGUGGACCGGAGAACCCAUGCCGUCCGAACCAUCACCACGAACCACCACCCACCACCUUCCCAAAUCUCUUCCACCAAAGCAAUCAGUCCGUACCAGCGCCACCUCCACCAGCAGCUAAAUCCGGUUGUUGCGGCGGAGCAACAACUAAAAAGCCCCCGGAACCGUCCUCCCCGCUGGAUCUGUUCACGAACCUGCUGCGACAGCAGGGCUGCAGCUGCAGUGGUCCCACCGAGGGUGUCGCCAAGGGAUGCUGCGUCGUGAUCUGCCUGAAGACGCUGGAAACGCUCAAGCAGGUGCUGACGCAGCAGCCGAAUCUGGUUCGGUGUCAUAGCGGCGGCGUCGGCAGUGCCAUAGCCAAUUAGCGAGACCAAAACCCGAAACACGUGUGUGCCAUUACGAGCGUGAUGCUAAUCGCAGAAAGAUCCAGUCAGUUUUGUUUUUAGGUUAACUUUUUAAGUAUACUACUGUAAGAAACGAGCAAUUUUGCCUGGCAUAGCCAGGUGAAUAUUGAAGUGGAGAGGGAAAAGAAAUGUUACUAAAUAGGGUUAUUUAUUUUGUUUGCGAGAAAAGCUUCAUCAAUCGUGUGUGCGUUUCGUGCAUUUUGUUCGCCAAAAUUAAGUCACGUGAGUGCAACUGUGAGCAGCAAGAUUUGAAAAAUAAAUAUGUUUUCGUUAUUAACUUUCAAACUAACCCAAGUUGAGCUCGGAACGAGCCAUUUUCCGAACAAACUUUAGCCUUUCUACGCUUCAAUGUGUGAUGAUUUUGAUAGCUUUUUUUAGGAUGAGUAAGAGAAAUAAAAACUAUCGCAAUAAAAGCAUUAUAACUAGCUGUUGACUCAAAGCCAAAAA